rnacentral:rRNA from 1 species
UACGUAGGGUGCAAGCGUUUGUCCGGAAUUAUUGGGCGUAAAGAGCUCGUAGGCGGUUUGUUGCGUCGGCUGUGAAAACCUGAGGCUCAACCUCAGGCCUGCAGUCGAUACGAGCAGACUAGAGUGUUGCAGGGGAGACUGGAAUUCCUGGUGUAGCGGUGAAAUGCGCAGAUAUCAGGAGGAACACCGGUGGCGAAGGCGGGUCUCUGGGCAACAACUGACGCUGGAGGAGCGAAAGCGUGGGGGAGCGAA